UUUGGGGAUGAUGAUAAAUGUGUAAUCCCAGCUCAUUAUGAGACCUUUUGUAGGUCUAGGAAUAGUCUUUAUCCACAUUUUAUCUGACCCUUACA